CGGGUGAGUAACACGUGGAUAACCUACCUAUAAGACUGGGAUAACUUCGGGAAACCGGAGCUAAUACCGGAUAAUAUAUUGAACCGCAUGGUUCAAUAGUGAAAGACGGUUUUGCUGUCACUUAUAGAUGGAUCCGCGCCGCAUUAGCUAGUUGGUAAGGUAACGGCUUACCAAGGCGACGAUGCGUAGCCGACCUGAGAGGGUGAUCGGCCACACUGGAACUGAGACACGGUCCAG
rnacentral:rRNA from 1 species